CCUCUAGUCCAGGCAUCACGUCCUCUGAGCUUACCAAAUCGGAUUUGCCCAGUACCGACACAACUCAAUUUAUUGCGGAAAAUACGCCUUCUCAGACGGGAGCAGAAUCUACCACAGACCCGACUGUAAGCACCUCACCAGCAGCAGAAGUGACAACAGCACUGAACAUAGCUGUGACAACGAAAAAUUUUGAAACCUCCACCACAACUACUAACAACACUACUACCACAACUACAGCUAAACCAAUAAAUCUGGCGUGCGAACUGUCUCGUUGCACAAACUUCACUUUCAUCGCAAACCAGGUUUCAAUUAAUCCUCUUAUGACUUUUAAAACAUGAUAUAACAGUUCAAUCCUUUAUUUUAUUUAUAAAUAUCACUUGCAAACUAAAGAAACGUUAUAUAUCCAUAAGUUUAAAAAGCGUUUGCAAUAAAUUUAUUCAGAGCGUAUCAUCAGUGGUCAGUGCCAGCACGAGUAAGAACAAAAUUUUGCUGUUGAAGAUGCCUAAAUAUUUGCACAUUGAUUUCAGGCAAGCUAAUUGUUAGAAACGGAACGACGUUUCUGUUUUCGUCAGCCGCAGUGAGCCAAGUUGACGCGGCCAGGAACUGCUUCUUGCGCAAUUUGAAUUUAAUUUCUAUGCAGGACGGCCCUAAAAUGAAUCUAGUUCAAAAAAUGCUUACGGAGGUUGGCACUAACUCUGCCGUCUGGACGAUUGGCUCCAACGAAGGCAACAUGUCGUGCCAAAAUUACAAUUUGAGUUUCGCCUGGUGCAACCCGAAAAGAGAAAUCGUCCUUCCCGCGAUAAUGCAGAAAAUGAAC